rnacentral:misc_RNA from 1 species
CUGUUAAAUUUUUAAUUUUUUUUCGCGCGUAUUUUUACUAUUCCGUUUCACUACCAGGUGGCAUACUUUCGCGCACAUUUUCAACCAAUCAUAGUCAUUUACUUAAACUUCGCAGAUAUCUAACUCAAGAAUACCUUUUCAUUUGUUUCGUGUCUUGUUUACCGGUAACGCAUUUCUUUAAAACGGAAUGUGUGUAAAACUAAAAACUAUGAUUCAUCGAAGCUAUUUGAUUAUCGACAUAAAAAGUGAGAUCCUCGUCGUCAUCGCUGGGGCCACCAGUUGGGCAACAAAGACCCUCUGAGCCAUCGCUUCUUAUACAGAAUAACAAAGUUUCAGCAGGUGUAACUUCGUGUGGCACGAUUCCGUGAAAUUCUUUCAGAUCGGCUGCGGGGAACCACGCUUUCUCGUUAUCCUCGAUUAUGAGUAUUCCAAAAAGUCUAAAUUGAAAAACGAAUGACAAAAAA